AGUGAACGCUGGCGGCGUGCCUAAUACAUGCAAGUCGAACGGAGUGGCGCACGGGUGAGUAAUAUAUAGCUACUCUGCCCUUUCUGGAGGAAAACCGGUAGAAAUGACAGCUAAUAAUCCCAAGCAAGGGAUAAGACGAUAACGUAUCAGAUAGUCGGUGGGGUAACGGCCUACCGAGGCUAUGACGCGUAACUGGUUUGAGGUGAUGAUCAGUCACAUUGGAACUGAGACACGGUCCAAACUCCUACGGGAGGCAGCAGUAGGGAAUAUUGCGCAAUGGGGGAAACCCUGACGCAGCAACGCCGCGUGGAGGAUGACACGUUUCGGAGCGUAAACUCCUUUUGUUAGGGAAGCGGUACCUAACGAAUAAGCACCGGCUAACUCCGUGCCAGCAGCCGCGGUAAUUC
rnacentral:rRNA from 1 species